GAUGAACGCUGGCGGCGUGCCUAAUACAUGCAAGUCGAGCGAACAGACGAGGAGCUUGCUCCUCUGACGUUAGCGGCGGACGGGUGAGUAACACGUGGAUAACCUACCUAUAAGACUGGGAUAACUUCGGGAAACCGGAGCUAAUACCGAAUAACAUGUUGAACCGCAUGGUUUAACAGUGAAAGACGGUCUUGCUGUCACUUAUAGAUGGAUCCGCGCCGCAUUAGCUAGUUGGUAAGGUAACGGCUUACCAAGGCAACGAUGCGUAGCCGACCUGAGAGGGUGAUCGGCCACACUGGAACUGAGACACGGUCCAGACUCCUACGGGAGGCAGCAGUAGGGAAUCUUUCGCAAUGGGCGAAAGCCUGACGGAGCAACGCCGCGUGAGCGAAGAAGGUCUUCGGAUCGUAAAACUCUGUUAUUAGGGAAGAACAAAUGUGUAAGUAACUAUGCACGUCUCGACGGUACCUAAUCAGAAAGCCACGGCUAACUACGUG
rnacentral:rRNA from 1 species